rnacentral:rRNA from 1 species
AUUGAACGCUGGCGGCAGGCCUAACACAUGCAAGUCGAACGAGUGGCGGACGGGUGAGUAAUGUCUGGGAAACUGCCCGAUGGAGGGGGAUAACUACUGGAAACGGUAGCUAGUACCGCAUACAAACGGAAGUGCCCAGAUGGGAUUAGCUAGUAGGUGGGGUAACGGCUCACCGAGGCGACGAUCCCUAGCUGGUCUGAGAGGAUGACCAGCCACACUGGAGCUGCGACACGGUCCAGACUCCUACGGAAGGCAGCAGUGGGGAAUAUUGCCCAAUGGGCGCAAGCCUGAUGCAGCCAUGCCGCGUGGAGGAAGAAGGCCUUCGGGUUGUAAAGUACUUUCAACGAGGAGGCGUUACUCGCAGAAGAAGCACCGGCUAACUCCGUGCCAGCAGCCGCGGUAAUUC